UGUGUCAGUUUUAUUGUGGAA
rnacentral:piRNA from 1 species